CCAAUUUUUUUACUCAAUGCAUCCUUUUGUUUCAUAUCGUUUCAGAACAGAGGUAAUGAUUAAAUUCCAUUCAAGCCAAGUUUAAUUCAGUAACUAAAAUGCUGCCAAGACAGUUAAAUGCAUCAAGUUAAUUCUGCAAUACUGUUGGCUGUCUGAGGACCUUAUGCGCCAUUGCCCGUCCUGUGCUCCCUAUUCCAUAUCACUAGUUACCAAGCACCAAGUCCCAUAGACCUAAAGCACUAUAUGCAAUAUUCUCUUUGUACAUUCAUCGGCAUGUCAGUUGUAUUUUAAAAUCCCAUAAUAAAACAGAACACUUCU
rnacentral:lncRNA from 1 species